rnacentral:rRNA from 1 species
CUCAACUCCAGAACUGCCUUUGAUACUGAUGGUCUCGAGUUCGGAAGAGGUUGGUGGAACUGCGAGUGUAGAGGUGAAAUUCGUAGAUAUUCGCAAGAACACCAGUGGCGAAGGCGGCCAACUGGUCCGAUACUGACGCUGAGGUGCGAAAGCGUGGGGAGCAAACAGGAUUAAUACCCUGGUAGUCAAGGGCG